rnacentral:rRNA from 1 species
CACGUACUGUGCGAACGUUAUUCGGAAUCACUGGGCUUAAAGGGUGCGUAGGCGGCGAUUCAAGUCAGAUGUGAAAUGCCUGAGCUCAACUGAGGCAUUGCGUUUGAAACUGAUUUGCUAGAGUGUCCUAGGGGUGUGCGGAACUGCCAGUGGAACGGUGAAAUGUGUUGAUAUUGGCAGGAACACCGGAGGCGAAGGCGGCACACUGGGGGAUAACUGACGCUGAGGCACGAAAGCCAAGGGAGCGAACGGGAUUAGAUACCCCGGUAGUCUUGGCCGUAAACGAUGAGUACUGGGCGGGAGGGGGUUUCCCCUUUCUGCCGUAGCGAAAGCGUUAAGUACUCCGCCUGGGGAGUAUGGUCGCAAGGCUG